UACGUAGGGGGCUAGCGUUAUCCGGAAUUACUGGGCGUAAAGGGUGCGUAGGUGGUUUCUUAAGUCAGAGGUGAAAGGCUACGGCUCAACCGUAGUAAGCCUUUGAAACUGGGAAACUUGAGUGCAGGAGAGGAGAGUGGAAUUCCUAGUGUAGCGGUGAAAUGCGUAGAUAUUAGGAGGAACACCAGUUGCGAAGGCGGCUCUCUGGACUGUAACUGACACUGAGGCACGAAAGCGUGGGGAUCAAACAGG
rnacentral:rRNA from 1 species